rnacentral:rRNA from 1 species
UAGGGAAUCUUCGGCAAUGGACGGAAGUCUGACCGAGCAACGCCGCGUGAGUGAAGAAGGUUUUCGGAUCGUAAAGCUCUGUUGUAAGAGAAGAACGAGUGUGAGAGUGGAAAGUUCACACUGUGACGGUAUCUUACCAGAAAGGGACGGCUAACUACGUGCCAGCAGCCGCGGUAAUACGUAGGUCCCGAGCGUUGUCCGGAUUUAUUGGGCGUAAAGCGAGCGCAGGCGGUUAGAUAAGUCUGAAGUUAAAGGCUGUGGCUUAACCAUAGUACGCUUUGGAAACUGUUUAACUUGAGUGCAAGAGGGGAGAGUGGAAUUCCAUGUGUAGCGGUGAAAUGCGUAGAUAUAUGGAGGAACACCGGUGGCGAAAGCGGCUCUCUGGCUUGUAACUGACGCUGAGGCUCGAAAGCGUGGGGAGCAAACAGGAUUAGAUACCCUGGUAGUCCACGCCGUAACGAUGAGUGCUAGGUGUUAGACCCUUUCCGGGGUUUAGUGCCGAAGCUAACGCAUUAAGCACUCCGCCUGGGGAGUACGACCGCAAGGUUG